UCUGAGCAAUACCCUGGGUUUGACACCAUGGAGUUUUUCUCCACACAGUGUCACUACAAAUGAAUUUCUGGAUCACCAGACAUGUGAAUCAGUCUCCAAUGAGCUGAAUGUCUUGACCCCAACCUGCUGAUGCAAUGAAAACGUUCAAGAAAACACUUUAACCUUUAGUAAUAUAAUUUCACCUGGUCUAGUGACAGGAAAGGAAAGGGGGAGUUGGCGAUGUCGCCUUCUACCGAUUAAAGUAACACUUAUAUGACCAUCGGAUAAGGAAUUUAUGGUACCGUCAACCUAGUACGGGACAAGGUCAACCUGUUGCCUAGCAACAUCACAUACAACUAUUUGUACUUUCAAGGUGCCACACUGUGACUUGGGAGUGAGGGAUUAGUCACCAGUGACUCUGUCAGGUGCUUAAAGGAAGAAGUCCCAGAUGAAGGGCAAGGCGCAACAUUAUAAUGUUUAAUCAGAAGUGAAAGGACUUCCUUUUCCAUGUGAUAAGUUGUUGGGAAGCACCUUGCUUUGCACAGUGGCUCUCUCCCCUACCUAUUGACACUUAACACUUGAAUUCUCUCAGUUACUUUCACAACUGGCUGUUCUUCAGCUGGGAUCAUUGCACAACAGCAUAUUGCGAGUUUACCUUGAAAGAGUGUGGUACGUGUAAGGACGUGUCGAGAGGGCAUUUAAACUAAGGUUUCACGACUUGGCACGAUUAUUACCUGUUGAGGAACGCGUUGCCAAAGGCGUUGAGUUUGCGGAAGGGCUUCUUGGGGUCGACCACCAGGGCAUUACCGGGUAUCACCCCUUCCUGGUCGCCGUGCAUCACCGCGA